AUUAAUCGAUAUUAAUCGAUCAUGAAAAUAAAACGAUGGGAGCAGCUCUACUUGCGACGCGAAUGUUUGAAUUUACUGGUCCACAAGUACAAAUGUAAAAACGCGCAAGCUGUUGGAAAGGCUGGAUGUUCAAAGCUGAAUUAGCGCAAACCCUCGGUUAAAAUUUAGCCAGUUGUUUUAUAGUUUCUGUAUUUCUGCGCGACUGUUUAUUUCUAAACGUUAAGGAAAAAAAAACAUCUACUGAACCGCAAAAGAUUUCUCAAGAAAUAUUUC